UUAAAGGGCUGCAGUAUAUUGACUGUACAAAGGUAGCAUAAUCAUUAGUCAUUUAAUUGAUGACUUGUAUGAAGGAUUGGAUGAAAUAUAAACUGUCUCUUAAUUAUAUUUAGAAUUUAAUUUUUUAAUUAAAAAGUUAAAAUAAAUUAGAAAGACGAGAAGACCCUAUAGAGUUUUAUAAGUAAAAUUAAUUGAGAUUAUUUGUAAAGGUUAAAAUUAAGAUUAAUUUAUUUAUUUUGUUGGGGUGACAGAAAAAUAUGAAAAACUUUUUAUAUGUUUAAAACAUUAAUAAGUGGUUAAAUGAUCCAAUAUUAUUGAUUAUAAGAAAAAAUUACCUUAGGGAUAACAGCGUAAUUUUUUUUUUUAGUUCACAUAAAAAAAAAAGUUUGCGACCUCGAUGUUGGAUUAAGAUAAAAUUUAAAUGUAGAAG
rnacentral:rRNA from 1 species